GGCAGCAGUGGGGAAUCUUCCGCAAUGGGCGAAAGCCUGACGGAGCAACGCCGCGUGAACGAUGAAGCUCUUAGGAUCGUAAAGUUCUGUUGUUGGGGACGAAGGGUAAGAA
rnacentral:rRNA from 1 species